UACGGAGGGGGCUAGCGUUGUUCGGAAUUACUGGCGUAAAGCGCACGUAGGCGGCUUUGCAAGUUAGAGGUGAAAGCCCGGGGCUCAACUCCGGAAUUGCCUUUAAAACUGCAUCGCUAGAAUUGUGGAGAGGUGAGUGGAACUGCGAGUGUAGAGGUGAAAUUCGUAGAUAUUCGCAAGAACACCAGUGGCGAAGGCGGCUCACUGGCCCGGUACUGACGCUGAGGUGACGAAAGCGUGGGGAGCAAACAGGG
rnacentral:rRNA from 1 species